AUACGUAGGUGACAAGCGUUAUCCGGAUUUACUGGGCGUAAAGGGCGUGUAGGCGGUCUUGCAAGUCAGAAGUGAAAUUCCUGAGCUCAACUCGGGCGCUGCUUCUGAAACUGCAGGACUUGAGUGCUGGAGGGGAUAGCGGAAUUCCUAGUGGAGCGGUAAAAUGCGCAGAUAUUAGGAAGAACACCGGUGGCGAAGGCGGCUAUCUGGACAGUAACUGACGUUGAGGCGCGAAAGCGUGGGGAGCAAACAGGAUUAGAUACCCUGGUAGUCCACGCCGUAAACGAUGAGUACUAGGUGUAGGGGGUAUCGACUCCCUCUGUGCCGCAGUUAACACAAUAAGUAUUCCGCCUGGGGAGUACGGCCGCAAGGUUGAAACUCAAAUGAAUUGACGGGG
rnacentral:rRNA from 1 species